ACUGCCUGAGUUCAGAUGCCUGACUUGCAGUGAUUGUACUGAAAAGAAGUGAGGUCGCUACCUGGACAGUGAUUAUAUAUUUUCCAAAGGAAAUAGAAGAGAACCCUUCCUUUUCCUUUGGAACAGAAGAGAAUGAUUCAAGGAACAGAAGAGAAUGAUUCAAGAUAGCCUUCAGCUCUCAAGAAACUAAUUCGAACAAAUUCUUACCAUAAUGGACUGUGUUAAAUGUCCCUGCCACUGUUUUGCAUGAAGAAUUAUCGCCACCACAAAUCCCACAUUUAUCUUUCCGGGCUUUUGAGUUUAAAAUAUGAUCACAUCCAGCUUGCUUUUUAAAAGAAAACAAUUGACAUAAGUGUACUUCCCACCAUUUUUGGGCCUGAAAAAAAAUGGAGACAACAGAUACAAUGCAUUGAAACCUACUUUUCUACUCAUCACUCCUUCGCUUAUGACUGGCUGGGUCUUAAGGAAGCAAGUUUGAGAUUACACGUGACAAAGGUAGAAGGAUGUGACUCCAGACUCCAGGUUUGCAUUCUGCCUCCCAUCAGCAUCUCUGGGUCUGACUUUGCUUUCUGCCUUUGAAUCCAUUAAGUCUCACAUUAAGUAAAGAAGUCAAACUUUGCCUCAGCAUAUACAACUAUGAAAUGGGAGGUGCCUGUCUUAUGUCUAGAUUUUGUUGUUGUUUUUUCUUUGAUACUAGUUCAUGUAUACCAGGCUGUCCUAAAACUACUGAUGGAGUUGAGGCUGAUCUUGAACUCCUAAUCCUGUGCCUCCAGCUCCAGAAUGCUGGUGUUAUAGGCGUGCAUCACCGUACCAAGUUUUUAAACCUUCUUUGAGGGUAAUAUGUCAAGUACCAAACAGAAAGCCUGAACAUACAGAGCUGGUCUUUGUUCCCUUUUCCCAAAUGAUUAGUCCUUCAACUUUAAUAAUUUUGUAAGAAAAGCUGGUACUGCUACUAGAUUGUCUCCUGUUUGUUCUCUACACCUUGACCUUCUCAAAGGAGACAACAGGAACACACUCCCUUCCUUUCACACUUCUCAUUUUGUCCUCUCCCAUCUUCUUUCCGACAACUAGUCUUUUGCUUUGGUUUAUUAAGUAAACCACACACAUGGCAUAUGUCCACACUUUGAUCUAUGUCACAGGAGGAGAAAGCACACUGGUUUCCUUACACUAUUGCUCAAGUAGGGUACACUCUGGAGAAGCACCAUGGCGCAAAUUCAUUCUCAGUGUGAAACUCUGCACAUGUCUUUUCCAGAUGUUACCCAGAUUAUAAAUUACACAACACAUCCCCUAGCUAUCAGCAGCUGGCCAAAUUCAUCACAGAGGUAGGGAAGGAUUCAGAACUCAACCACGGACACUCAAACAGCCCAGAAUACACAAUGAUCUCAGAACACCAUGGAGCUCCAAGACGAAGUUCACAAUUUUUCUGUUUCAGUGAUUUUUUUUUCAGAGUAAUCCAAAGUAUAAGAAAUGGAUUUUGUUUUGUUUUUCAAGUAGAGGUUUUAGGAGCUGGGAAAUAUAUCAACCAUGACCAUAACGGAGGGGGGGGAGGGGCAGCUGAAGGUGGUACAUUGGUUCUGGUUUCCAGUCUAGUUUCCUUACUGUGCCCUGAGGCCCAGUUUUUCCCUUCUUUAAAAUGAGAGCAUAUAGCUGGGUACAGUAACACAUGUCUUUAAUCCCAGCACUCUGCAUAUCAAACUCAGUCUAUGGCUUUGGGUUUUUUUUGUGUGUAAAAUCAGAUUAUAACUUCCUUCUAACUCUGCAUGUGGCUUUAAUGAAUGCAAAUGUGCCCUUUUGAACUACACAUCUCCUAGACAAUGUGGUUUCUAUCUCAUUUGUGUGUACCGUAUAAUAUGGAAAUAUAUAUCCAUAAACCUUUCAGAAUGGAACAAUUAAUCUCAUAAUUAAAAAAUUUGUUUGGA